CAGCCGCCGCGGGAAUACGAAGGGGGCUAGCGUUGUUCGGAAUUACUGGGCGUAAAGCGCACGUAGGCGGAUAUUUAAGUCAGGGGUGAAAUCCCGCAGCUCAACUGCGGAACUGCCUUUGAUACUGGGUAUCUUGAGUAUGGAAGAGGUUAGUGGAAUUGCGAGUGUAGAGGUGAAAUUCGUAGAUAUUCGCAGGAACACCAGUGGCGAAGGCGGCUAACUGGUCCAUAACUGACGCUGAGGUGCGAAAGCGUGGGGAGCAAACAGGAUUAGAUACCCGCGUAGUCCCUGUCUCUUAUAC
rnacentral:rRNA from 1 species